AUUGAACGCUGGCGGAAUGCUUUACACAUGCAAGUCGAACGGCAGCAUAGAGAGCUUGCUCUCUGAUGGCGAGUGGCGAACGGGUGAGUAAUAUAUCGGAACGUACCCAGUAAUGGGGGAUAACGAAUCGAAAGAUUCGCUAAUACCGCAUACGCCCUACGGGGGAAAGCGGGGGAUCGUAAGACCUCGCGUUAUUGGCGCGGCCGAUAUCUGAUUAGCUAGUUGGUGAGGUAAAGGCUCACCAAGGCGACGAUCAGUAGCUGGUCUGAGAGGACGACCAGCCACACUGGAACUGAGACACGGUCCAGACUCCUACGGGAGGCAGCAGUGGGAAUUUUGGACAAUGGGGGCAACCCUGAUCCAGCCAUUCCGCGUGAGUGAAGAAGGCCUUCGGGUUGUAAAGCUCUUUCGCAAGGGAAGAAAACUUAUCUACUAAUACUAGGUGAGGCUGACGGUACCUUGAUAAGAAGCACCGGCUAACUACGUGCCAGCAGCCGCAGUAA
rnacentral:rRNA from 1 species